rnacentral:piRNA from 1 species
UCUCAAUUAGGACGAAGGGANCUAAGUGC